GUACACACCGCCCGUCACACCAUGAGAGUCGGGAACACCCGAAGCCCGUAGCCUAACAGCAAUGAGGGCGCGGUCGAAGGUGGGUUCGAUAAUUGGGGUGAAGUCGUAACAAGGUACC
rnacentral:rRNA from 1 species